UAGGGAAUAUUAGAAAUGGACGAAAGUCUGAUCUAGCAACACCGCGUGUGCGAUGAAGGCCUUCGGGUUGUAAAGCACUUUUUGGAAGGACUAGGAAGGAAUGUACUUCCAGAAUAAGUCUCGGCUAACUACGUGCCAGCAGCCGCGGUAACACGUAGGAGGCGAACGUUAUCCGGAUUUACUGGGCGUAAAGCGCGUGAAGGUGGUUCUGUAAGUAGGGCGUGAAAGCUCCUGGCUCAACUGGGAGAGGCCGUUCUAAACUGCAGAGCUAGAGGAUGGUAGAGGGAGGUGGAAUUCCGGGUGUAGCGGUGGAAUGUGCAGAUAUCCGGAGGAACACCAGUGGCGAAGGCGGCCUCCUGGACCAUUCCUGACACUCAGACGCGAAAGCUAGGGUAGCAAACGG
rnacentral:rRNA from 1 species